rnacentral:rRNA from 1 species
UGGGGAAUACUGCACAAUGGGCGCAAGCCUGAUGCAGCCAUGCCGCGUGUAUGAAGAAGGCCUUCGGGUUGUAAAGUACUUUCAGCGGGGAGGAAGGGAGUAAAGUUAAUACCUUUACUCAUUGACGUUACCCGCAGAAGAAGCACCGGCUAACUCCGUGCCAGCAGCCGCGGUAAUACGGAGGGUGCAAGCGUUAAUCGGAAUUACUGGGCGUAAAGCGCACGCAGGCGGUUUGUUAAGUCAGAUGUGAAAUCCCCGGGCUCAACCUGGGAACUGCAUCUGAUACUGGCAAGCUUGAGUCUCGUAGAGGGGGGUAGAAUUCCAGGUGUAGCGGUGAAAUGCGUAGAGAUCUGGAGGAAUACCGGUGGCGAAGGCGGCCCCCUGGACGAAGACUGACGCUCAGGUGCGAAAGCGUGGGGAGCAAACAGG